AUGGAGUCGUUCAGCCUUCUCAAGUACCUGCGCGGCGGAGCGGUCGCCGGCAACCAACGCACGGCCGUGCCGGCCACGACCAUUGCCGCGUUGGCGUGUGAGGAAGGUGGUGAAGGGGGUGGAAGUGGUGGGGGCGCGGACGUGGUGGAAGACGACGCGGCCUUCUUCGACCUCGAGUUCGCGGUGCCGGGCGACGAGAGCGCCGCGUCGGACGCGGAGGAAGAGAGGGUCGAGUUCAACUUCUCCGUCGCCGGCGAUGCCGCGUCCGGCGGCGAGGUGGUGGCCGUGGAGCCGGUGGUGCCGGUCAGUGAGGCUGAGAACGGCGUCGGGAAGGAGGCGGAGCCUGCUGCGACGGCGGAGGCCCCGGCGGCGUCGUUCCUCCGUCCGGCGACCAAGUUCCGCGUGCUUCUGCUUAAGCUGAGGAAGCCGAAGGUUCCCGUUCCGGCGGAGGGCAACGCGGGUGGUGCUGCCGGCGGUUCCCCGGCGCCCAAGACGAACCGCUUCUUGAUCAAGUUCCGGGUGGACGACGCGCCGUUUGUGUCGCUCUUCACGCGUGACAACAGCUCUCGCACCUCCGACGCCGGCGCUGGCACCGGCGCGGCCAGGCCGGCGGUGCAGGCACCUCAGCCUUCCGACGCGGUGGCGAUCACCGCCGAGGAGCGGCGCUUCGCCAAGGAGGUUAUGCUCAAGUACCUGAACAAAAUCAAGCCCCUGUACGUCAAGGUCUCCCGCCGCUACGGCGAGCGCCUACGGUUCGCCGGCGCCAGCGAGGGCGAGGAGACGGACGCGGAGCCCGAACCCUCGCCGACCCCUUCCGCGACACCCUCCCCCGCCCCCUCCCAGCCUCGUGCGGCACCUGCCCCGCCGCCACAGCCCGUCGUCGUCGCGUGCGGCGUGCGCGCUCCGCGCGCCAGCGUGCCGGCCGGCCUGAAGCAGGCGUGCAAGCGCCUCGGCAAGAGCCGCUCCGCGUCCUCCGCCGUGGCGGCCGCGCCGUCGCCGUCGGCCACAUCACCGACCCCCGCGCAGCCGCAGCGCCGCGACGACUCGCUGCUGCAGCUGCAGGACGGCAUCCAGGGCGCCAUUGCGCACUGCAAGCGCUCCUUCAACGCGUCCAAAGGGUCCGAGUCGCCGCUGCUGAGGUCCAUGACGGAGCCGAAGGCCGACGGCGCGGCCGACACCAAGGACGGCGUCGACGGCGCGUGA
rnacentral:rRNA from 1 species